UCUGGUGAUUAUGACGUGAAGGAUACACCCGUUCCCAUUCCGAACACGAUGGUUAAGCUUCACAGUGCCGAUGGUACUGCAG
rnacentral:rRNA from 1 species